rnacentral:rRNA from 1 species
GACAGAGGGUGCAAACGUUGCUCGGAAUUACUGGGCGUAAAGCGCGUGUAGGCGGGCCAACAAGUCAGAUGUGAAAUCCCUGGGCUCAACCCAGGAACUGCAUUUGAAACUGUCGGCCUUGAGUGGUGGAGAGGGAAGCGGAAUUCCUGGUGUAGAGGUGAAAUUCGUAGAUAUCAGGAGGAACACCGGUGGCGAAGGCGACUUCCUGGACACCAACUG